GACCCCACAAUUCCAUUGACCCCUUCCUUUUUGAUCACCAAUACCAUAAAACAAGGAAUAAAAAUUGAAAAUGUAGUGAUUAACACAGCUUAUUUCUUCAUGUCCAUUGGCCAUCAAACCUUUUAACACUUUCUCUUCCCCAAAAUUCGGAUCCUUUCUUCUUCCCUCUCUGAAUCCUUCAUCCAUUUUUGUUUGUUCAAUUUCCCCUAAAUUUGUAGGUUUGUUCUUGCACCAAACUCCUCCAUUUCGUUUCAGUUUCUACACAAUGUGUGGGAACCUUCCUAAUCCCUUUUAACUUUUUU
rnacentral:misc_RNA from 1 species